GCAAGUCGAGGGGUAACGAAGGGAGCUUGCUCCCUGUCGACGACCGGCGGACGGGUGAGUAAUGCACGAGAAUCUACCUUUUAGUGGGGGAUAGCUUGGAGAAAUCCAAAUUAAUACCGCAUAUUGCCUAAGGGUGAAAGAGGGGGACCGCAAGGCCUCUUGCUAGGAGAUGAGCUCGUGUGGGAUUAGCUAGUUGGUAAGGUAAAGGCUUACCAAGGCAACGAUCCCUAGCUGAUUUGAGAGGAUGAUC
rnacentral:rRNA from 1 species